GGAAAGUUGUAAUCCUGGCUCCUCGGGUACGCAACCAGCCAACCAACUUAUGCUGCAAGAAUCAGCGUCCAGGUUCUCCAACCCCUAGAAAUAGGCAGGAGCUGUUUUCCAAUGUUCCCAGUUAUAAUGCCAUUGGAAUGCAAUUCUGGUUGGUACUGCAAGAAGAAAACCCUCAAAGUGUAAUGUGACAUGAGCAACACUACCCAGCUAGCUCGGAUCAUAUGAUGCUGCAACAGGGAUACUAUUAACCAGGAAUCUCCUUGAUUUCAAUGGGCACCAGGGAUAUAGGGAGGCUGAAUAUUCUAUAUCAAUGGCUCUCAACCUUCCCAAACUACCAUACCCCUUUCAGGAUUUGUCUUGCUUGGCCCAAGUUUCUCCUCACCUAAAAAUUACUUGCUUAC